UAGGGAAUCUUCCACAAUGGACGCAAGUCUGAUGGAGCAACGCCGCGUGAGUGAAGAAGGUUUUCGGAUCGUAAAGCUCUGUUGUUGGUGAAGAAGGAUAGAGGCAGUAACCGGUCUUUAUUUGACGGUAAUCAACCAGAAAGUCACGGCUAACUACGUGCCAGCAGCCGCGGUAAUACGUAGGUGACAAGCGUUGUCCGGAUUUAUUGGGCGUAAAGCGAGCGCAGGCGGAAUGAUAAGUCUGAUGUGAAAGCCCACGGCUCAACCGUGGAACUGCAUCGGAAACUGUCAUUCUUGAGUGCAGAAGAGGAGAGUGGAACUCCAUGUGUAGCGGUGGAAUGCGUAGAUAUAUGGAAGAACACCAGUGGCGAAGGCGGCUCUCUGGUCUGCAACUGACGCUGAGGCUCGAAAGCAUGGGUAGCGAACAGGGAUUAGAUACCCUGGUAGUCCAUGCCGUAAACGAUGAGCGCUAGGUGUUGGGGGACUUUCCGGUCCUCAGUGCCGCAGCAAACGCAUUAAGCGCUCCGCCUGGGGAGUACGACCGCAAGGUUGAA
rnacentral:rRNA from 1 species